rnacentral:rRNA from 1 species
GGCGAACGGGUGAGUAACACGUGAGCAACCUGCCCUAGGCUUUGGGAUAACCCCGGGAAACCGGGGCUAAUACCGGAUAGGACCUCCUGUCGCAUGGUGGGGGGUGGAAAGUUUUUUCGGCCUGGGAUGGGCUCGCGGCCUAUCAGCUUGUUGGUGGGGUGAUGGCCUACCAAGGCGAUGACGGGUAGCCGGCCUGAGAGGGCGACCGGCCACACUGGGACUGAGACACGGCCCAGACUCCUACGGGAGGCAGCAGUGGGGAAUAUUGCACAAUGGGCGGAAGCCUGAUGCAGCGACGCCGCGUGAGGGAUGACGGCCUUCGGGUUGUAAACCUCUUUCAGCAGGGACGAAGCGCAAGUGACGGUACCUGCAGAAGAAGCGCCGGCCAACUACGUGCCAGCAGCCGCGGUAAGACGUAGGGCGCGAGCGUUGUCCGGAUUUAUUGGGCGUAAAGAGCUCGUAGGCGGCUUGUCGCGUCGACUGUGAAAACCCGCGGCUCAACUGCGGGCCUGCAGUCGAUACGGGCAGGCUAGAGUUCGGUAGGGGAGACUGGAAUUCCUGGUGUAGCGGUGAAAUGCGCAGAUAUCAGGAGGAACACCGGUGGCGAAGGCGGGUCUCUGGGCCGAUACUGACGCUGAGGA